rnacentral:rRNA from 1 species
UACGUAGGGUGCAAGCGUUAAUCGGAAUUACUGGGCGUAAAGCGUGCGCAGGCGGUUGUUCAAGUCAGAUGUGAAAUCCCCGGGCUUAACCUGGGAACUGCAUUUGUGACUGCACAGCUGGAGUGCGGCAGAGGGGGAUGGAAUUCCGAGUGUAGCAGUGAAAUGCGUAGAUAUGCGGAGGAACACCGAUGGCGAAGGCAGGUCUCUGGGCAUUAACUGACGCUGAGGAGCGAAAGCAUGGGGAGCGAACAGU